UACUGUCUCUCUGUGAUUCCAACAUGGUCCCCUGCACCAAAGAGGUCUUGUUCCAGAUUGUGACCAUGUAUAGGUCAGAGGUGGCAGAUUUGGAAUGCACAUCAUCUGUUGCAGAGGGUUCCUCUUCCAACUCCCUUGAAGUCUGUGGCUUUUUGGACAGUGUCAUGUCUUAUCUAGAAGACAUGCCUGUGUCUGGUUCUUCAUGGUUGGAAGGAUUGAGAGAUACUCCAGCCUCAGUCAUUGAGAAACUCUCCAGUGAGGAGUUCCAGAUGAACGCUACCAACGAAGGGCGAAAAAUACUGAUCAAAUCAGUCAGUAGCUUUCCCAGCAAAGUCAGUUCCAGCCAGACAGAUUCUCAGAUGUUGCCAGCAAAAUCAACAAUUUCCUUAAGGCAUACAGAUAUAACUGCUUUUGAAAUCGUUGGAUCAAUUACAAAUGACAUGAAGAGCCUUUUCCCACCCACAGAGUCUUCUACUACUCUAUGGCAGGCAGACUCUAUGCUUCAACAGAGUGAUGAGAAAACCUCAGAGUACACUGAGGCCACACCCAAAGGCUCACAGUCUGGUUUGGAAGUAUCUGAGAAGAAGAUCUGGACAACUGCAAAGACUAUUUACCACAAUGUGAAGACAAAGAUGAGGAAUUAUUUUACAUGGCAAAAUCAAGUCAAAGCAACAACGGCUCAUGCCAAAAAGACCCUCAGCCAUAUUCUGGUUUCAAUUCAGAAAGAGCUGUCAAAAUCUGACCAAACGGUGACUGCGCUUUCACAAAUAGAGAAUGUGGUUGGAAUGAUGCUGAAGGAUGUUGAAAGGGUAAGCAGUGAAUGUGGUGAGGAACUGAUCUAUCAAGCGCCACAGCGUUCUUCCUCCUCGUUGUCAUCCUCAUCUGCCAGAUCAAAGAAGUCAGAGUGGGAAUUUUCACUCCCUGGCACUCCCAUCUCUUCUGAUUUACCAGAGUGUAUUACUCAGCCCAUUGUGAGAUGCUCAGUCAUCGACAUGGGCAAAUCUACUAAGCCAAAAACAUUGGUGUGUGAUGCCAGGGAAAGCAUGUCUGCAAUAGUGGAUACCAUCAUAAAGGAGGUACAUCCAGAGGAAGAAGGGGAGGUUGCAUUCCACCCUGAUCUAACAGUUGCAAUAGCAAGACUGGAGGAGCUCAUAUCUCAGGGUAGGAUUGGUGCUCUCUCACGUGAUCUUACUCACCAAGUCAACCGCAUCAUUUCUGAGAGCAACUUGACCCCUCUGGUUCUGACAGUGGCGGCUGGAAAGAGUGCAUCCGAUACAGUCCUUACUGAGCUGAAGAGGAAUGACAAGACGGUGGGGAAGCCCACAGCUUACAAGCUGGUUCAGCUUUUUGCAGAGGAGUCUGUGAAGCGCCUCUUGCUUCCUAGCCUUGUGCCCUCUACAGCUUCAAUGAGUUUGGCUCAGGGAGUUAGUGUGCCGGCUAGCGUAUCUGAAGAUAGGAUUUCAUGUUCUUUUUCUACAUCAGCAUUUAGUGACACAGUCAGCCUGUUUACCAAAGUAAUGGUAAGCCAGGUCAUGGACUCUGUGGUUUCUGAUGCACAAAGCAGAGGGUCAUCUCCAACCGGAACUGUAACUGAUAUAGGCAGUCUACUGAGUGGUAAGUCCUACCCUCUGCCAUCUUUCUCCGCCAUCAGCAUGACAACAAGUGGGACCUCCAAUGCUGCACGAGGCUUUGAGGCCAACAUAGAUGCUGAGGAAAGGGAUACCAUCAGUUGUUUCGGUGUACCUCAGAGCAUUGUUUGUGAUCAGAAUUCAACCAGCCCGGAUGUUGCCUCGCUUUCAACCCCAUCCACUGACAACUUAGUCGGUGAUGAUGACUUCACCGGCCUCAUCAGCAUGUUAGUGGUGAGACUUCUGUCAAAAAUCCAAACCCAAACUGAUCUGUACCCAACUGACGUCACACGCACGUCACAAGACCUGAUUCCAAAAGUUAUAGCUGCCUUCUGUGCAUGGUCAGGCUGCUCUGAGACCCAAGCUUAUCCCAAGAACCUGAAGAGUCACAAAGUAUACAGCACCGUCUACAAACAUCUGUUGAAGGAGUUUGGCUCAGAGAAAAUACUCCAACUGGCCGUGUCGACUCAGGACUCCACAUUCAAUAGGAUUCUUGUGAAGUCAUUGAGCAAGGAGCUUCUCCACAGUUGUAACGAGGCAUCAAGAGCAGCCUCAAGAACAUCUUUCGAAGCCACCAGGCCAGAAGCUCUUCUCAUGGCUGAAGAUGUGAAGGCUACCAGAGGGAAGCUGUCUUUCCUACAAAGGCUUGCCAGACUGAAAUUCGACUUAAAGCCAUUCAUGAUGGGAAACAAGAAGGAUUCCAAGAAGAAUUCCCGCCAUUCUGAAUCCAAAGACCAGACUACUGCUGAAGAUAUCAUAUUGGCACAUCCUGGACUCCCAGAGGGUCUUCCCUCCACCUCUCAACAGGAGAAGCCUCGCAAACGUCCCCUUCUAAUCAGGAUGUUUUCCACCAUCUCCAUAGGCCUAUCCAAGCCAUUCAAACGGUUUUCAAAGCAAGCUUAAUACAACAAUUUCCUUUAAUACAGUAAUAUUUGCAUUGAAUUGAUGGCCUUUGUCUUCUUUUGUGUUGCCCUGUUAACACAUUUGAUUAGAAAAUACAUAGUAUAUUUAGUUUAGUUUAUUAUGCAGUCAUAGUCACGGUGUAGGCUAAACAAAGUAAUGUUGUCCUGAAUAAUGUAUAUAACAUGCACCCCCCACCCACCCACCCACACAAAGUGUGAUUCAUUGAACACACACACAUAGUACUUCAGAUAUGUCCCACAACCAACAUUCAACCAGAUAUCAAUGAUUCAGUGUAAAAUACAUGUACUGUAAAAUAAACCGUAUUUAAUUUACAACCAAUAAAAUUAUACAUGAUGCAGGACACUCAGUUAUAAGGGAAUUAAUUGGUUUAACUUCUCAAACAGAAAGACACACUGUAACUGACAGUUAGACUUACAGGUUAUGUCGUUGUCUUUUGUUUGAAUUGUUUACGUAUCCGCUGUGCGGGGGAAAUGAUAAUACAAUCGGAACUACGUAGCCAAUACUGUUGUAACGGGGAUCCUUAUUGUAGCAACACACUUUUGGAGGGAAGGAAAUCCUGCGCUGCGUUAGCUAAGUUUUCAUGUCAUCGGGUGUAGUUCAUAAAGGUUGAAGAGUGUAUGUUAGGAUGAAGUGUGAAUUCAUGCCAGGAAUAAUAAGUGUGAAGUUUGAUUUCCUCCCUUCUGUAAUAAGCAGCCAAUGAGGUAUUUUUUCCUUUAUUCAUGUGUUUAAUCUGAACCCGUAAUAACGCCGGUUAAACUGUUAUGUAUGUAAGCACUUCAGAGUUAUACCAAGCUAAUAAGUCACUCGUAAGAUAAGGUUGUAAGAGUGUUCUUAACUGUAUUUUUAAUUUACUUUAUAAUUCUCACGGAAGGUGAUAAUUCUGACUAAAACUACAGAAUAAAGCCGCCAGUUAAAAUCAAGGAACGGUUGUGCUCGUGGUUACUGAAGGGAGCUACAGUGAGAACUCAAUGCUCUUCACGAGCAAGAGAGAAAGAAGAAUCUCAUCCAGCUGUAAAACGUCUACAUGAUUCCCAAAUCCUGGUAGACCCAGUCAUCUGCCAGAUAAGAGUUUUGCACCUACCUGCAAACUAAGAAGAAAAUCUCCACAUAAGGAAGCAUCGUGAGGCAACAUAAGGUCAAGACUAACAGGAAAGUCAGACACGCAAGUACAAGUCAAGGUGUUUGGAGGUGGUCCUAGCCUUGUGAACAGCUAAUAAGAGACUUUAAGAUUACAAUUCGUAAGGACUGGAGAUAGUUGUCUAUUUCAUAAAGACUCUGGUAUUAUGCAUUUGCUCUUUCUAUCUUAAUGUAUCGCUGGUAUGUGUAUUACUGGAAAAAUAUUAUUUGAUACUUACUAAAAAUAUAUAUAUAGUUACAAACAUUAAGGGUCAGCGUACACCUAUUAAUUCUAUUUUCACCUGUAAGUUAAUAGUGUAAUUGUUUGGGAAGGUGUUUGUUCAAGCCUUUGUUACAAGCAUUAUACAUGUUUAUACCACGUACUAAGGUUUAAAUUACAGUGAAUUGGAGUAUAAAUUAUCUACUCACUUAUCCAAACCUUACCUAGAUUUGAUUUGAUUUGAUUUAAAAUGUCAGAAAGAGGUAGUUUCACUAAAGUUGAUAGAGAUGGGGUGGGUCAAGUUGAGCAGCAGCUGCAACACCUCGCAAACUUCAGGCCUUCAUCAGAACAAACAGAGCAGCAGGAAGAGACCCAGACUGGUGUGGAGUCAUGGCUGCCAGCGAAUGAUGAUACAGAGGCUGCUAAUGAGACAUCACAACAUGAGCCACGAAAAGGUGAGAGGGUCCGCAGGUUAACUGAAAAGGGCAGAGAACUGCGCAACGAAAGGUGGAGACAGCUCAAACAUCAUUUCAGGGUCAGCUAUGAGAAGUGGAAGGCUCUGGUAAAGGAAGCAAAACUGUCACUGACAGCCUGUUGCUCUGAAGAUCUACUAGAAGACCUCUUAAACAAGAUUAGCCAUACCUCUACAGAGCUAAACCUUGUCUAUGUAAAUGUGCGUCAAAUCUACAUACCCGACAACAAUAUACGCCGCAGAGUUGAUACUUGUGAAGCAGUUACAAUGUCUAUUAUCAAGACUGUAAGGUGUCAUUUAAAAGGCAGGGAAGAAGGUCAAAGUAACCAGAUAAAGCUGCACUGGAAGGACAGCAAUUCCUUGUGCAUGUCCGAACUCUCACAUAAGUCAAGUCUCAACUAUCAGCCCUCAAGUGCUUCCUCCCAGUCUCAAAGCAAUUCAAAGGUCAACUCCAGAUGCUCAAGCGUGUCAUCUGUCAAGAGACAAGAGGCUGCGGCGGAAGUUGCUGCUAACCAAGCAGCUUUAGAAGUAAUGGUUAAGCAAGAACGCCAACUAGAAGAGCUUCAGAGACUUGAAGAUGAAGAUAAGAAGAGGACAGCUGAGCAAGAAGCCGAGGCUGUGAAACGCAGCUUAGAAGAAGCUAGGCUGCGAGUCAAGUUAGAGGUAGAAAAUGCUGCCAGACGAAGGACGCUAGAAGACAAGCAUAGAGAGUUAGAGCGCCUAGAAGUGCUCAAGAAACUAAAUGCUGCCAAGGCGCGGAUGCAAGUGUAUGAGCAAGAUGAAAACUCAGAGGACGAGAAGAGAGAACUACUCUCUAACUGCAAAUCUGUGAAAGAAAUCGUGCACAGAAGUGGCUCAUUUCACAGUCUCUCACCACAACAUGUUGUGACAAACACACAACAAGAAGAUGGCACCAAGACCAUGUUCAGGUUACUAGCGGAAUCAAUCAGUGAAAGCCGCCUCCCCAUACCAGAACCAGUAACAUUCAAUGGAGAGCCUCUCUCAUACACUGACUGGAUGGUCUCUUUUCAGACUCUGAUAGACAGGAAGAACAUACCAGCAACUGAGAAGAUAUAUUACUUAAGAAAAUAUGUCGGUGGGCCUGCCAAGAAAGCCAUCGAAAGUUACUUUAUGUUAGGAACAGAAUCAGCCUACCAUGCUGCUUGGACCAUUCUUGAAGAAAGGUACGGAAACAAAUUCUUCAUCGCCAAGUCUUUCAGAGAUAAGCUCAAUGCAUGGCCUACGAUAGGAUCCAAGGACAGUCUUGAACUUAGAGACCUUGUAGACUUUCUUCGCAGCUGUGAAGCUGCUAUGUCUCAGAAUAAGGGCCUGGAGGUGCUUAAUGACUGUAAUGAAAACCAAAAGAUCCUCACUAAACUUCCAGAUUGGCUAACUUCAAGAUGGAAUAGAAAGGUCACAGACAUCUUAGAAGAAACUGAGAUCUUUCCUAGCUUCAGUCAGUUUGUGAAGUUUCUCACGAGAGAAGCCAAGAUUGCUUGCAAUCCUGUAACAUCCCUUCAUGCUUUGAAACCAAGUGAAGAUGGAAAACUUAAGACGCCAAGGAUUCAAAGCCCCGGAGCAAGGGUAUUAGCAACUAACUCUGAUGAGAAAGAUACUGUUACUAGUUGUGUCUUCUGUGAGAAGUCAGGUCACAGUCUCCACAAAUGCUGGAAGUUCAUGGAUAAGCCCACCGCAGAGCGACAGAACUCUGUUCAAGAGAAUAAAUUGUGCUUUGGCUGUUUAAGGCCUGGGCAUCGCUCGAAAGAUUGUGAUAACAGGAACACCUGCGACACGUGUCAGAGGAGGCAUCCAUCCUGCCUGCACGAAGAUCGUACUGAAGAAAGGUUCAGGGAUAGGAAGACAGAGCCCCCACGAGAUAAGGGGACAAGAGCGUCAAGUGAGGCCAUAUCUAACAGAGUCGUAAGGGACAUUAACAACACUCACACCUCCACAAUCAUUCCAGUAUGGGUGUCAACCACAAGUGAGCCAGAUCGUGAAGUUCUUGUGUAUGCACUUCUUGACACCCAGAGCGACACCACCUUUAUCCUUGAAGAGACAACAAAGGCUCUCAAUACAAGGAAGGAGCCAGUCCAACUGAAACUCUCUACAAUGGCUUCAAGGAAUACCAUUGUGCCCUGCCAGAAGCUGUCUGGUUUGCAGGUUAGAGGGUUUUACUUGGAGAAGAAAAGCCCUCUGCCAACGACCUACUCGAGAGAGUUUAUUCCUGCAAACAGAGAUCAUAUUCCUACUCCAGAGACUGCAAGAGCAUGGUCUCAUCUUGAACACAUUGCAGAGGAGAUUGCUCCUCAACAGAGCUGUGAUGUCGGUCUCUUAAUUGGCUACAACUGCUCCCAGGCUCUCCUUCCAAGAGAAAUUGUGUCUGGUAAGGGAAAUCAGCCUUUUGCUCAGAGAACAGAUCUUGGCUGGAGCAUAGUCGGCUAUGGAAAUCCAUGUAUCGACUAUGGCGACGCUAUUGGAGUGAGUCAUCGGGUUAUCGUUAGACAGGUGAUGCCAAGCCUUCAAUCUUCUUUCAACCUCACAAAUCAAGUACACUAUGUUUGUAGAACACGUGUAAGAGAGGUAAUCACAGCACUGGACAUUAUCAAGACGCUUGAAUCUGACUUCAACAAGAGAGCUGCAGAAGAGGACCUCAUAUCUCAAGAGGAUAUCCGGUUCCUGACGAAAAUGAAAGUGGGCAUCAGACGCAAGGACAAUGGACAUUAUGAGAUGCCGCUGCCGUUUAAGGAAGAAAGACCCAACCUGCCGAACAAUAAAACAUGUGCAGUUCACCGUCUCAAGUGCCUGGAAAGGAGGCUAAGGAGAGACAAGCAGUACUACAAGGACUACACAGCAUUCAUGGAAGAGACCAUAGCUUGUGGAGAUGCUGAGAAGGUCUCCAAAGAGGAAGUUAACCAGCAUCCAGCAUGGUACAUCCCGCACCAUGGGGUUUAUCACCCACAAAAGCCUGGGAAGAUACGCGUCGUCUGCGACUGCUCAGCUAAGUUUCGAGAGACGUCCUUGAAUGACCAUCUCCUUACUGGUCCAGAGUUGACAAACACAUUGCUGGGUGUCCUUUGUCGUUUUUGUAAGGGUCCAGUUGCAAUCAUGUGUGACGUAGAGCGCAUGUUCCACCAGUUUCAUGGGAAAGCAGAAGACCAAGAUUAUCUACGGUUCCUUUGGUGGGAGAACGGAGAUCUAGAGUCUCAACCCUCAGUGUAUCGUAUGAAGGCCCACUUGUUCGGCGCAGCUUCAUCUCCUGGUUGCGCCAACUAUGGUCUCAAACAUCUUGCUGCCGAAGGACGAGGAAGCUUCAGCGAGAAGUCUAUCCAGUUCAUAGAAAGGAACUUUUAUGUUGAUGAUGGGUUGACGAGCGUAUCGUCUGAAGCUGAGGCGGCCCAGCUGGUGAAAGAAGCAAGAGAGCUUUGCAGCAUCGGCAAACUUCGGUUGCACAAGUUUAUCUCUAACAGCAAGGAAGUUAUAGCCACAGUUCCCAAGGAAGAAUGUGCCGAGGGUGCCAAAGACCUGGAUAUGGCUCUGGGUGAACCACACAUGGAGAGAGCGCUUGGUGUACUGUGGUGUGUCGCAUCAGACGAGUUCCAGUUUAGAGUAGUUGUCAAGGAACGCUCACUCACAAGAAGAGGAGUGUUGUCUACUGUAGCCUCUGUAUAUGAUCCGCUUGGGUUUGUGGCAACCUUUGUCCUGGCAGGGAAGCAGAUCUUGCAGCGGAUGUGUCGUGACAAAAUCGACUGGGAUGACCCCCUUCCAGAUGACCUACAUUCCCAGUGGGAAUUCUGGCUCCAAGGUCUACAAAACUUGUCUGAAGUAAUGAUCCAACGAGGUUACUUGCCAUCAAGUUUCAAGGAGGUGCAGAGUUAUGAGCUCCAUCACUUCUCCGACGCUAGUACCUCAUGUUAUGGAGAGUGCUCAUACCUCAGAACAAUCAACACUGACAGAAAUGGAAUAAAGACAGAAGAAACGCAAGGAUUAAUGACAUUGUCAUUUUGCAAGAUGAUACUGCACCACGCAACCAGUGGAAAUUGGCAAAGGUUACAGAAGUAUACCCGGGACAGGAUGGUCGGGUGAGAAGAUUCAAGUUACUGAUCAGCGACUCAACCCUAGAUGAGAGAGGUAAACGCAUCACCAAACCCACCUAUCUGGAGAGGCCCAUCCAUAAGACAGUCACCCUCCUGGAAGCCGAUUAAGAAACCUGCAGACCCCUUUCACAGAAAUCACCGGUGAUUGGUGGGAGUGUAACUGACAGUUAGACUUACAGGUUAUGUCGUUGUCUUUUGUUUGAAUUGUUUACGUAUCCGCUGUGUGGGGGAAAUUAUAAUACAAUCGGAACUACGUAGCUAAUACUGAUUUCCUCCCUUCUGUAAUAAGCAGCCAAUGAGCUUUUACCUUCGACAUCAACAAGCGGCGCACGGGCUGGUCCUGCAGACUCCCACGCCCAUGGCCCAGGAGAAGGCAGGGGGCCACCUGCUCACUCACGUCCCAGCCAUCUCCUUUGAGACCGACUCUACUGUGGAGUGCACCUCCAAGAGGACUCCGGAAGAGAGGGACCGGGUGAAGGUUAAACUGGCCAACAUGGCCUUGAUGGGAAGGAUCAAAAAGUCUUGGCUGUGAAAUGCCCAUUAUGUGUGAUUAUCGAAUUUAUCAUUUUCCACUUUUGAAACAACAAUGGGAAAGACAGGGUUUAUAGCAAAGGUUGCUCAGAUUGGGCUUUUGGAAAAAUUGGGAGAAUGAAAGUGCACUCCUGAUUCAGAGAGAAAGAUCCAGCUUAAUCAUCCAUACCAUUGUUUAAAUUACAAUU